GAUGAACGCUGGCGGCGUGCCUAAUACAUGCAAGUAGAACGCUGAAGGAAGGAGCUUGCUCUUUCCGGAUGAGUUGCGAACGGGUGAGUAACGCGUAGGUAACCUGCCUGGUAGCGGGGGAUAACUAUUGGAAACGAUAGCUAAUACCGCAUAACAGUAGAUGUUGCAUGAUAUCUACUUAAAAGGUGCAAUUGCACCACUACCAGAUGGACCUGCGUUGUAUUAGCUAGUUGGUGAGGUAACGGCUCACCAAGGCGACGAUACAUAGCCGACCUGAGAGGGUGAUCGGCCACACUGGGACUGAGACACGGCCCAGACUCCUACGGGAGGCAGCAGUAGGGAAUCUUCGGCAAUGGACGGAAGUCUGACCGAGCAACGCCGCGUGAGUGAAGAAGGUUUUCGGAUCGUAAAGCUCCGUUGUAAGAGAAGAACGAGUGUGAGAGUGGAAAGUUCACACUGUGACGGUAGCUUACCAGAAAGGGACGGCUAACUACGUG
rnacentral:rRNA from 1 species